rnacentral:rRNA from 1 species
UACGGAGGGGGCGAGCGUUAUUCGGAAUUAUUGGGCGUAAAGGGCGCGUAGGCGGCCACCGCAAGUCGACUGUGAAAUCUCCGGGCUUAACCCGGAACGGUCAGCCGAUACUGCGGGGCUAGAGUGCAGAAGGGGCAACUGGAAUUCUCGGUGUAGCGGUGAAAUGCGUAGAUAUCGAGAGGAACACCUGCGGCGAAGGCGGGUUGCUGGGCUGACACUGACGCUGAGGCGCGAAAGCUAGGGGAGCGAACGGG